AUCAACUCGCUUUCUUUUUUUAGAGUUCUUCUCGGAUUUCAACCAACGAUUUCGUUUUGGUUGUUUUUUUAGGCUCGGUGUUGAUGGAGAGAAGAAAUCUGCGAAAGAGCAGUAGUGAAGAGGAGAGCUUGAGCUUGGUGUCUAGUGGCUCGAAAUCGUGCGCUUCAUCUCUAACAAUUGAUGGAUCUAAGGAGAUUCGAGCUCACAAGCUCAAAAUCGUCGCUUUCGUGUCUCGCUGCCAUGAAACGAAGCUCAAGUUUAUUUUCAUGUAAUUUUUGCAGGUAGCGUGAAGGAGGCACUCGAAGGUGAACUGGAGCUCUGGCCACCAGAGGUCAAUCGUGCUAGCUCCGCCGGAGAAGGCAGCUGCGCUGGUGGCGUCUAUAGAGUCAGGUUCGUGCUUGUCAAGUGGUUCCAGCGCCGCUUCAAAAAAGCAAAGCCACUUUAUGUAUACGAACGGAUUGAUGAUGAAGCAGGCUGGUUCGUGAUGAUCAGGAGGAGACGAAGAGGAUCAGAUCUGGCUUUGGCUAGCGUUACAUGAGCGGCUGACCCGAACAACAUGGAGUCUGCUGUCAAGUGGUUGUUUCUCCGAAAUGAGGAUUCGUCGUGUGCUUGGCGACAGUACUCCUAGUCCUAGCACAAGCAAAGCUUUGAGAAAAAUACGGUGAAUUUCACCUGCUGUGGUGUAACGUCAGGCUGUUAAAGCAAAAGGCGGUGAAAAGAUCUGGUGAAGGAGGGAGUCAUGACCAUUUACACGGGAAAGAACCUUACCGAACAGUUGUUGGGCUGCGAUCUGCCGGCAUUUUAGAAUGGCCAGCUAUGGGGUUUGUGAUUUGUUGGACGACAUGUUACAUAAUCUAUUUUUUUUAUAUAUUUUUUUAAUGUUUUUUUAUUGUAAGCUAGAAAUCUUGUGCCAGCAACCCAAUUGCAUCAAAGUAAACUUCAAAUCAU